UGAUGUACUGAUAUCUAAAUCUGCGAAUGGCUCCGUAUACCUGUUAUAACCUACAGUGUUGAUCCCUCAUUUCGAAACGGAUAAUGUUGGAAACCCUAACAAUAAUACGUUUUCGAGCAUCGGAUUGCACUAAUUUGCUGGAGGGGGGAGUGACUUUUCCUCUUCUUUCCGGUAUUUUAGUGGGAAUCUAGGGCUCCUGCUUUAUUCAGCGUUCCAACUGGGGGAAGCAAACAAAGUGGAUUCAUGAAGGUCCUUCACGGGCACUCGAGUCUCAGAGUCCUUAGUGGUCUCAACAACUUCGGGCACUCGCGCAAAGAUAUUAAGAAAACAUGAGUGUCCACUUUUCCCCUGUGUUGACCAAUGCUUGAUUUGGGUGGGAAAGUAUCCUGAUGAAAGCAAUUAGAUAUCGCUUCACAAGCACUAUGGGUUUCAGUCCUAUCAACUUGAUGGUUGGGCCUUGGCCAACCAUGGUUAUAACGGGUGCAGAGGAUUAGGGUUUGAUCCUGGAGAGGUAGCCUGAGAAAUAGCUCCCACUUCCAUGGAAGGCAGCAGGCGCGCAACGUUCCCAAUGGUUUAUUGACCGAGGACGUUAAGGAACAUAGCAAUACUUUGCCUUAAAACGCAAAGCAAUUGAAAUGGGGGAGAUACAAAUCAUCCACCGAGUAGCAAUUAGAGGACAAGUUGGGGUGCCAGCAAA
rnacentral:rRNA from 1 species